GCCUUAGUAGCGGCGAGUGAGCGGCAAAAGCUCAAAUUUGAAAUCUGGCACUUUCAGUGUCCGAGUUGUAAUUUGAAGAAGGUAUCUUUGGGUCUGGCUCUUGUCUAUGUUUCUUGGAACAGAACGUCACAGAGGGUGAGAAUCCCGUGCGAUGAGAUGUCCCAGACCUAUGUAAAGUUCCUUCGAAGAGUCGAGUUGUUUGGGAAUGCAGCUCUAAGUGGGUGGUAAAUUCCAUCUAAAGCUAAAUAUUGGCGAGAGACCGAUAGCGAACAAGUACAGUGAUGGAAAGAUGAAAAGAACUUUGAAAAGAGAGUGAAAAAGUACGUGAAAUUGUUGAAAGGGAAGGGCUUGAGAUCAGACUUGGUAUUUUGUAUGUUACUCUCUCGGGGGUGGCCUCUACAGUUUACCGGGCCAGCAUCAGUUUGAGCGGUAGGAUAAGUGCAAAGAAAUGUGGCACUGCUUCGGUAGUGUGUUAUAGUCUUUGUCGAUACUGCCAGCUUAGACUGAGGACUGCGGCUUCGGCCUAGGAUGUUGGCAUAAUGAUCUUAAGUCGCCCGUCUUGAAC
rnacentral:rRNA from 1 species